rnacentral:rRNA from 1 species
AAAAGCGGAGGAAAAGAAACUAACAAGGAUUCCCCUAGUAGCGGCGAGCGAAGCGGGAAGAGCUCAAAUUUAUAAUCUGGCACCUUCGGUGUCCGAGUUGUAAUCUCUAGAAAUGUUUUCCGCGUUGGACCGCACACAAGUCUGUUGGAAUACAGCGGCAUAGUGGUGAGACCCCCGUAUAUGGUGCGGACGCCCAGCGCUUUGUGAUACAUUUUCGAAGAGUCGAGUUGUUUGGGAAUGCAGCUCAAAUUGGGUGGUAAAUUCCAUCUAAAGCUAAAUAUUGGCGAGAGACCGAUAGCGAACAAGUACCGUGAGGGAAAGAUGAAAAGCACUUUGGAAAGAGAGUUAACAGUACGUGAAAUUGUUGGAAGGGAAACGCUUGAAGUCAGACUUGCUUGCCGAGCAAUCGGUUUGCAGGCCAGCAUCAGUUUUCCGGGAUGGAUAAUGGUAGAGAGAAGGUAGCAGUUUCGGCUGUGUUAUAGCUCUCUGCUGGAUACAUCUUGGGGGACUGAGGAACGCAGUGUGCCUUUGGCGGGGGUUUCGACCUCUUCACACUUAGGAUGCUGGUGGAAUGGCUUUAAACGACCCGUCUUGAAACAC